GGAUGUGAGGGCGAUCUGGCUGCGACAUCUGUCACCCCAUUGAUCGCCAGGUUGAUUCGGCUUGAUCUGGCUGGCUAGGCGGGUGUCCCCUUCCUCCCUCACCGCUCCAUGUGCGUGUCUGCCCGAAGCUGCGCGCUCGGUCGAAGAGGACGACCUUCCCCGAUAGAGGAGGACCGUUCUUCGGUCAAGGUAUACGAGUAAGCUGGCUCCCCUGCUGAACUCCAAACAAGCUCUCAAGGCCAUUGUAGGAGAACGUAGGGUAGUCAAGCUUCCAAGACUCAAAAAAAAAAAAAAAAAAAAAAAAAAAAAAAUAAUCCUU
rnacentral:snRNA from 1 species